rnacentral:rRNA from 1 species
UACGUAGGGUGCAAGCGUUAAUCGGAAUUACUGGGCGUAAAGCGUGCGCAGGCGGUUUUGUAAGUCUGUCGUGAAAUCCCCGGGCUCAACCUGGGAACUGCAUCCAAAACUGCUGAGCUAGAGUACGGUAGAGGGUGGUGGAAUUUCCUGUGUAGCGGUGAAAUGCGUAGAUAUAGGAAGGAACACCAAUGGCGAAGGCAAUCCCCUGGGCCUGUACUGACGCUCAUGCACGAAAGCGUGGGGAGCAAACAGG